rnacentral:lncRNA from 1 species
AAUCAAUCUAGGAACAAACUAGAAAGACAAAAUCAAACAAGACUCAACCCGAUGAGGAUAUAACUCAGGGGAGUAAUUCCCAUCCCAAUACACACUUGGGGAGGAAACUGAAACAGUAACCAUCCACGAGGACGUAACUCAGUGGGGAAGAAAGAAGAAACGAUAGACACUUUUUGCCUAUGGGGCUGACUCUAUGUGGAGAGAUCAGACACAAAC